rnacentral:rRNA from 1 species
GUUGAACGCUGGCGGAAUGCUUUACACAUGCAAGUCGAGCGACAGCGCGGGGCAACCUGGCGGCGAGCGGCGAACGGGUGAGUAAUGCAUCGGAACAUGUCCAUGUCGUGGGGGAUAGCCCGGCGAAAGCCGGAUUAAUACCGCAUACGCUCGGGAGAGGAAAGCCGGGGACCGCAAGGCCUGGCGCGAUUGGGUUGGCCGAUGUCCGAUUAGCUAGUUGGUGAGGUAAAGGCUUACCAAGGCGAUGAUCGGUAGCUGGUCUGAGAGGAUGAUCAGCCACACUGGGACUGAGACACGGCCCAGACUCCUACGGGAGGCAGCAGUGGGGAAUUUUGGACAAUGGGGGCAACCCUGAUCCAGCCAUUCCGCGUGAGUGAAGAAGGCCUUCGGGUUGUAAAGCUCUUUUGUCCGGAGCGAAACGGGCGCGGCUAAUACCUGCGUCCACUGACGGUACCGGAAGAAUAAGCACCGGCUAACUACGUGCCAGCCGCCGCGGUAA